rnacentral:rRNA from 1 species
GACGAACGCUGGCGGCGUGCUUAACACAUGCAAGUCGAACGGACAGGCCCUGCUUUUGUGGGGUUCUCGAGUGGCGAACGGGUGAGUAACACGUGAGUAACCUGCACUUGACUUUGUGAUAACUUCAGGAAACUGGGGCUAAUAUCGGAUAUGAGCUCCUGCUCCGUGGUGUGGGUUGGAAAAUUUCGGCGGUUGGGGAUGGACUCGCGGCUUAUCAGCUUGUUGGUGUGGUAGUGGCUUACCAAGGCUUUGACGGGUAGCCGGCCUGAGAGGUUGACCGGCGACAUUGGGACUGCGAGACGGCCCAGACUCGUACGGGAGGCAGUAGUGGGGAAUAUGGCAGAAUGGGCGGAAGCCUGAUGCAGAAACGCCGCGUGCGGGAUGACGGCCUUCGGGUUGUAAACCGCUUUCGCCUGUGACGAAGCGGGAGUGACGGUAAUGAGUAAAGAAGCACCGGCUAACUACGUG